AUUGAACGCUGGCGGCAGGCCUAACACAUGCAAGUCGAGCGAGCGGCGGACGGGUGCGUAAUGCCUGGGAAUUGCCCAGUCGAGGGGGAUAACAGUUGGAAACGACUACUAAUACCGCAUAGGAUUGGAUUGCCCCGGAGGGAUUAGCUAGUUGGUGAGGGAAUGGCUCACCAAGGCGACGAUCCCUAGCUGGUCAGAGAGGAUGAACAGCCACACUGAAAAUGAGACACGGUCCAGAGUCCUACGGGAGGCAGAAGUGGGGAAUAUUGCACAAGGGGGGAAGCCCUGAUGCGGCCAUGCCGGGUGUGUGAAGAAGGCGUUCGGGUUGUAAAGCACUUGCAGCGAGGAGGCGUUACUCGCAGAAGAAGCACCGGAUAACUCAGUGCGAGCAGCCGCGGUAAUUC
rnacentral:rRNA from 1 species